GAUGAACGCUAGCGGCAGGCCUAAUACAUGCAAGUCGAACGGUAACAUGAGUAGCAAUACUUGAUGACGAGUGGCGCACGGGUGCGUAACACGUAUGUAAUCUUCCCACAACUGGGGGAUAGCCCGGAGAAAUCCGGAUUAAUACCCCAUAACCCAGCGAGGUGGCAUCACCUUUCUGGUAAAUCUCCGGAGGUUGUGGAUGAACAUGCGUCCGAGUAGCUAGUUGGCGGGGUAACGGCCCACCAAGGCUACGAUCGGUAGGGGUACUGAGAGGUUAAACCCCCACACUGGUACUGAGACACGGACAGACUCCUACGGGAGGCAGCAGUAAGGAAUAUUGGACAAUGGAGGCAACUCUGAUCCAGCCAUGCCGCGUGAAGGAUGAAGGCGCUAUGCGUUGUAAACUUCUUUUGAACGGGAAAAAACCCCUUUACGUGUAAAGGGUUGAUUGUACCGUUAGAAUAAGGGUCGGCUAACUUCGUGCCAGCCGCCGCGGUAAAAC
rnacentral:rRNA from 1 species